rnacentral:tRNA from 1 species
UUUUUAUUACACUUUUUAAUUCACAAAAUUUAUAAAAUCCACUUAAAUUAUGAAAAAUUAGA